rnacentral:ncRNA from 2 species
AUAAUCUCGUAUUCAAUGUAUCGUAUAAUAGACCUAAUGUGGAGGUCAAGUUUCUACCGCGAUUCCGUAAAAUUCGCGACUACGAUAUGAAAACACCUUUUU